UACGUAGGUGGCAAGCGUUGUCCGGAAUUAUUGGGCGUAAAGCGCGCGCAGGCGGCCUAUCCAGUCUGUCUUAAAAGUUCGGGGCUCAACCCCGUGAUGGGAUGGAAACUAGUAGGCUAGAGUAUCGGAGAGGAAAGCGGAAUUCCUAGUGUAGCGGUGAAAUGCGUAGAUAUUAGGAAGAACACCAGUGGCGAAGGCGGCUUUCUGGACGAAAACUGACGCUGAGGCGCGAAAGCCAGGGGAGCGAACG
rnacentral:rRNA from 2 species